rnacentral:lncRNA from 1 species
UUAAGGUUGUUGUUAGUGUGGACAAGUGGAUUCUGACUCCUGGGGACCCUGUGGACAUUAGAGUGGACCCCUGCCCGGUCUUUCUGUGCCAUCCUCUCACCUUCUGGCACUAAGUCAGACAAUGCUCCAUUAUGCACAGGGUUUUUGUGGCCAAUUUUUUCAGAAGUGGGUGGCCAGGUCCUUCUUCCUAGUCUGUCUAGUCUGGAAGCUUUGCUGAAACUUGUCCACCAUGGGUGACCCUGCUGGUAUUUGAAAUACUGGUGGCAGAGCUUUCAACAACACAGCAACAUGCAGCCACCACAGUGUGACAACCAACAGACGGGUGAUGUGGUUCCCCAACCAGGAAAUGAAACUGGGCCACGGCGGUGAGAGUGCCAGCUCUUACCCAGGAGACCACCAGGGCUGGCUUAACCUUAAUGCUCCUGGUGCCUGCCGCGUGUGCGACCCGCCCACGACUGUCAGGGGGUGUGGAGGCCCAGUCUAUGCAGCGGGGACAGACGGCCUGGGUCUUGACAGACGGACGACAUCCACUCUGUCCGAGGCUACUGGUUGCUGCCGGACGUCUCACACAUUUCAUGCAACAAGGUGCAAGACCUGAGAGGAGGGCCGAGCUCGGACGUCCAGGGCGCGAGAGAUGUGGCAAGGGAAGUCGCGUCACAACCCGUGGACGACGCCGGCGCCUCUUCCCCAGCGCGCUCCCGCUGCAGGCUCGGCGGAGGCUGCUGCCGUGGGCCGGGCGGGAGCUCUCUGUCGCCCCCUGCAGGCCACAGGGGCUCCCAGCAAUCAGGUGUUGGGACGUCGGUGUAUUCUCCCGUCCUCAUUUUCACUCUCAAAUCGAUAAACAAGAAGCAGUUAUUGUAUUUGUCGUUAAAUGUUUAGGGUUUUAUGGAAUUACCGUUUUUAGAAGGCACCUGAUAAGGAGCCAUGAGAGCAGACACCAGAAGGAAGUGAGCGAGUCCACGCGUGGGGGUCUGGGGUGGGUGGGCUGCAGGUGUCCCCUCAGAAUUCUUGUUGAAGCCCCACCCCCUAAUGAGAUGGUAUUUGGAGGUGGGGCCUUUGGGAGGUAAUUAGGGCUAGUGAGGUCGUGGGGGUGGAGCCCCCAUUUGGGGAUCAAUGUCCUUACAAGAAGAGAGAGGAGAGCUCUGUUUUGGGCCGUCUGAGGACGCACUGAGAAGGCGGCUGUCUGGGUCAGGAAGCAGGUCCUCGCCAGACACGGUGUCUGGGGGCUCCUGAUCUUCUAGCUCCAGACCUGUGGGAAGGGACUGUCGGGUGUGUAAGCCACCUAGUCUGUGGUAUUUGCUGUAACGCCCGGAGCCGCUGAGGCAGGGGAAAGAGCGCUCGAGGUGUAGGGACCUGGAGAAGGGACUACGUUCGGCACGGCUCAAGGGCAGCAGAAAGUCCGUGUUCCUGGGGAGGGGAGGGCACGCACGAGGGAGAGCAGCAGGAAGUAGACCGGGGGCUCGGGGAGAAGGGAGACGGUGCAAGAUCGGGUCACUGUGAGAACUUUGACUUCAGCUCUAAAGUGACAUGAACUGCUGGAGGUUUGAGUCCAGGAACAUGAUCUGACCUUGUUUUUAAAAGAUCAUGUGUGCUGGGGCUGGCCCCGUGGCCGAGUGGUUAAGUUCGCGCACUCCGCUGCAGGCAGCCCAGUGUUUCGUUGGUUCGAAUCCUGGGCGCGGACAUGGCACUGCUCAUCAAGCCACGCUGAGGCAGCGUCCCACAUGCCACAACUAGAAGGACCUACAAAGAAGAAUAUACAACUAUGUACUGGAGGGCUUUGGGGAGAAAAAGGAAAAAAAAUAAAAUCUUAAAAAAAAAAAAAAGAUCA